rnacentral:rRNA from 1 species
GAUGAACGCUGGCGGCGUGCCUAAUACAUGCAAGUCGAGCGAACAGACGAGGAGCUUGCUCCUCUGACGUUAGCGGCGGACGGGUGAGUCACACGUGGAUAACCUACCUAUAAGACUGGGAUAACUUCGGGAAACCGGAGCUAAUACCGGAUAAUAUAUUGAACCGCAUGGUUCAAUAGUGGAAGACGGUUUUGCUGUCACUUAUAGAUGGAUCCGCGCCGGAUUAGCUAGUUGGUAAGGUAACGGCUUACCAAGGCGACGAUGCGUAGCCGACCUGAGAGGGUGAUCGGCCACACUGGAACUGAGACACGGUCCAGACUCCUACGGGAGGCAGCAGUAGGGAAUCUUCCGCAAUGGGCGAAAGCCUGACGGAGCAACGCCGCGUGAGUGAUGAAGGUCUUCGGAUCGUAAAACUCUGUUAUUAGGGAAGAACAAAUGUGUAAGUAACUAUGCACGUCUUGACGGUACCUAAUCAGAAAGCCACGGCUAACUACGUG